rnacentral:rRNA from 1 species
UACGUAGGGACCGAGCGUUGUCCGGAAUCAUUGGGCGUAAAGAGCGUGUAGGCGGCUAUUUAAGUCCUGCGUGAAAUCCUGCGGCUCAACCGCAGACGGUCGUGGGAAACUGGAUGGCUAGAGUGCGGGAGAGGAGAGUGGAAUUCCCGGUGUAGCGGUGAAAUGCGCAGAUAUCGGGAAGAACACCCGUGGCGAAGGCGGCUCUCUGGAAUGCAACUGACGCUGAGACGCGAAAGCGUGGGGAGCAAACAGG